rnacentral:lncRNA from 1 species
CAAUUACCAGACCCUUCAUAAUGCUUGGUGCCGAUGGCAGUAUUUUCGUAUCCCACCCAUUUGGUGAAAAAGAUUCCAGCCAGAAUUGUGUUGCUAUGGAGACAAAACUCAAGCACAGACCAUCCUACCAUUCACCAAAGCUGGGAUGACUUCAGAACUUGUUUUGGUUGGUACCAGAAAUUGAAUGCUGCAAGUGGUAUGCCCCUUAAAGGAAAUAGCCCCUGACCCACCCUACAGCCUUGUCUUUGGAGAAUCACAUGUCCAGCCACUUCUGAGGCUGUAGAUUGCUGUGUCUCUAGGGAAUCUGCACCAGGCUCAGUGGAA